rnacentral:rRNA from 1 species
AUUGAACGCUGGCGGCAGGCCUAACACAUGCAAGUCGAACGCAGUGGGGACGGGUGAGUAACACGUGGGUAACCUCCCAUCAGAGGGGAUAACACUUGGAAACAGGUGCUAAACCGAUACUGAUGGAUGGACCCGCGGUGCAUUAGCUAGUUGGUGAGGUAACGGCUCACCAAGGCCACGAUGCAUAGGUGAGCGGAGAGGGGGAUCGGGCAACCUGGGACGGAGACAAGGCCCAGACUCCGACGGGAGGAAGCAGUGGGGAAUCUUCGGCAAUGGAAGAAAGUCUGACCGAGCAACGCCGCGUGAGUGAAGAAGGUUUUCGGAUCGUAAAACUCUGUUGUUAGAGAAGCGGUAUCUAACCAGAAAGCCACGGCUAACUACGUGCCAGCAGCCGCGGUAAUAC